ensembl:lncRNA
GGGCCCUGGAAACCUGCUCCCUCCCACUGGCCCCUGGGCAAGGAAGGGCAGGCAUCUUUAAGGGGCUGCAGGCCCCCUGUGCCUCUCUUUGGCUGCUUGCUCCAGAACUGAACAGCCUGGUAAGAAUACACAGUGUUUUUGGAAAUGCUUGUAAUAGUUAUCCUUCCUCUUAUUUAGAGUUUUGUCUUCCCAGUAUUUCUUUUUAAAACGAAUCCUCUGUCCUUUCAAGAACUGAAUUAUAUUUUCACAUUUUGCACUUUCUUCUCCCAGCACUAACUUCCUGGAAAAGUGCCAAACUGAAUGGGCCGAGUUCUACCCUUAGUGUUGCCUGCUCCCCAAGGCAGGAAUGCUUUCUGUAUCUCCUACGCCUCUGCAGCUUAGGAGAAUGCAGUACUCAGACUUAAAUUGCCUUUUAGGCAAAAUGACUCACUUUAAGACAGGAAGUUCUGUGUUCUACUCUGUUGGAUUUUCAAGAGGCCCCGACGCCACCACCUUACAGCAUCAUCAGCUGUGAUGGAAUACCAAGUGCUGGUCCCACCAGUCAGUGAAGAGAACACCACGGGUUCUAGAACCACUGUGUUACAAAUAGGAAACCGACCUUAGAGGGUUUCAGAACAUUGGCAUGCAGCUGGUAACACAGAAGGAGAAAACAGAAACCACAUCCGGAAGUAAUCAUCUCCCAGUCACUUUAAUGGAUUAUAAAUGUUAAAGAGCCCACCAAUUAAAUUAGCGUGAUGGCGUUUCAUAAAAAGUUCCAUAAAUCUUAAAUGGAGAAACACAUUUCCAUGGACUCGAUCAGCUUGUAGUGAAACUGUAAGAGAAGCAAAGACUGCAAAGGAGUUGGAAGAAAUAAAGAGCCCUUUCCAACCUUUUGAAACGCCUGCAACAAUAAUGAACAUAUAAUGCACAGGCAAUAACCCUUCAGUCAAAAAGAAAGACAAACAGAAAAGAGAGCCUUGCAUAGAAACUUGGGUGAUUCUACACUUUAAAUAAUAAGCUUCUGCUCUUCUUCCAAGAAGCCCCCUACAUACUUCCUGAUCUACCUCGGAGGCAAAAAGUGUGACAGUUAUUAAGCUGCUUCUUUGUUGAAGAAAUGCAGAAAGAGGUCUCUGUAACCUCCCAAUCCAAGGACUUGGGAUAGGAUCAUGUGGCAAAACCUCUCUCACAGCAGAUAUGAAUACAAUAGAAUGCCCACCUGGUGCCUCCAGAUCUAGCCAGCAUUGACCACUCCCAGGAGCAAUAAUACACGGUGCACAAAGCACUCACAGGCCUCACACCUGGCCCUUCAGACCAGAGCUCCAAGUGAAGAACCGCCGUGCUGACACCUCAGCUUGGGGACCGUGUGCAGAAGCAUCACGUAUAGAAAGAUGAGAUUCAGGAUGGCGGCAGUGCCCCUCGUGCAGAGGGGCUGCACCCGGCACUGAGGUCUGAAGCCUGAGCAGCCCAGCUGCACCUGCCCCGGGAGAGAUCCGCCCCCUCCUUGAAGAGCCCCGCGGAAACCCUGUAAAGCAGCCUCGCCCAUGGCCCGGCGGGAGGGUGGCUGCCCUAGAGCCCAAGCUGGCCCCUCUGCAUUUCUCAAAGCAUAAAGCUUCACUCCGCUCCUGAACCAAACGCGGUCUCAUUCUACUGGCUCAAAGAACAACAGGCAGGAGAACCCUUGUUGCGUGCUCGCAUGCUCAGUCAUGUCUGACUGGUGACAACGCCUCUGUUUAUGGAAUUUUCCAGGCAAGAAUCCUGGAAUGGGUUGCUAUUUCCUUCUCCAGGGGAUCUUCCUGACCCAGGGAUCGAAGCUGCAUCUCCUGUGUCUCCUUCAUUGCAGGUGGGUUCUUUACUGCUGAGCCCCCAGGGAGGCCUGAAUCUUUGUUGAGACCUGAUUCGAAAGGAUCAGCAACAAGCCCUUGUGACCUGGCCCAAUACCUUGCUUUCACCCAUUCCCCUCACCUCUGUGCCUUUGACCAAACUAUCCUCUCCAGAGUUUUUCCUAGAAGGCAUUUCUUUUCAUGUGAAAAAUAUCUUGCAGGAGUGACAUCAUACACCCAGAUGCUGAAUGAACAGAACCCAGACCCUGUUUUGCUGACCCUUAUCCAAGAAGACUAGUGUUCUCUCUAGAAUUUGAUGCCAUGUUGACAUUUGGCUGCCAACUCACUGCUGAAAGCCUUUCAUGUGGAAAAAUACAUAUUCCAAAUCGGGGUGAUGGAUGAGUUGUUAAACUGUCAUAUCGUCUGUUCCAUACUAAGCUAGGUUCUCACUAGGACUAUGGAAAGAGAUGGGAAGGGUGGAAAGAGAUCUUAAAGUCAUGACUGAUUCUUCCAAAUAUAUGGACAAGAAUGCCAACAGGGCAUGUUGUAAUAUGUUCAAGGAAGUUUUCUAAAUCUAUAUUUCAAAAAGCUGAGCUCAAGCUGUUGACCUUUCAGCUACAUCAGAGCACUGAAAUGGGCUCUGUGGAUAGCUUUUGUGCGUGAAUUGCAUACUAGUGUCCUCAGCCUCAGAACUCCCUUGAAUUCUGAGAAGCGCUAAUUGAAAUGCAAUGCACAUUUUCUUUAGCCUGAGCCUGAGAGAGGAAUGUGAGCACUGGACAAUGCUGUCAGAUAAAUAUGAUGCACAGUAGCAACAAUGGUCAUGUGUAACCAGCCUAGUGAGUUUGCAAACCAAAUCUGAGAGCAUUUGGUGGCUCGAUUAAUUUGCUUUGCCCAUCCACCAUCUGUUGUUGACUCCAGGAGGCCAGUGUGGGCAGCCCUGCUUGUUUCUGCUGACUUAGGCCAGCUGGAAACUGUCCUUCUAGAGGGAUUGGAGGGUGGGGUCUGCAAAAGAACAGAGGUGCUUGGUCCCUGCUCUGAUCUCACUCUGUAACUGGGAAAUCAGGUUUUAUAUAAGUACCUCCUUCUGUGUGCUUCAAAACUACUUUUAUAUCCCUUACCUCUGUUUAAAAAUUGUGUAAACUCACAGGUCCACCUGUUUUAUAUUCUCCCUUGCUGAUGACUGAGGAGAGAAAUGAGGUCACCUGGUCACAAUCAGGCAAUUGUUUCUUUUGAGUUGAGCUGUAAAACAUCACAUUUGAAUUUUGCUUUAUUUUCAGACUGAAAUAGUUCAUUCUUUCCAUAGCAAAGCUUUUCAUAACUUGGAGUGCAGUGCCCUAGAUAAGCCAGGUUUGCUUUCUGAAUUAGGUAAUGAAAGUAUUGCUCAUCUUUCCCUUGUUCUGCUCCCCCAAACCUAUACACUUCACUUGCCUCAUUCAUUCUUCAAUAGAAAUGAAACUAGUGCUUCAUGUAAAACGGGCUGCAGCUGCUGCUGCUGCUGCUGCUGCUGCUAAGUUGCUUCAGUCGUGUCUGACUCUGUGCGACCCCAUAGACGGCAGCUCACCAGGCUCCCCCGUCCCUGGGAUUCUCCAGGCAAGAACACCGGAGUGGGUUGCCAUUUCCUUCUCCAAUGCAUGAAAGUGAAAAGUGAAAGUGAAGUCGCUCAGUUGUGUCCAACUCUUAGCGACCCCAUGGAUUGCAGCCUACCAGGUUCCUCUGUCCAUGAGAUUUUCCAGGUAAGAAUGCUGGAGUGGGGUGCCAUUGCCUUCUCCGACAAGAGGGGCAGUGAACUAAAUACUGGGGAUUCAGAAGUGAAAGCACAGGCCUUGGUUCUUAAGGCACUCACAGGCUAGUGCAAGAAGAUAAAUAAAGCUAUGCUACAAAUAUUAUGAUAGAGAUUUACACAGGGUACUCAUGGCAAAGAUUUAUAGCUGCCCACCAAAAUCGAUUCCACUCUUCUUCCCCAGUAAUAGAAUUUUAGCUGAGUGUAGAGCCAGCUCCCCACCCCCCAGAAUUCUGUCCUGAGCAACUAAGCACAGUAACAUGACUGAGGUCUCCCCAUCAAAAAUACAAGUUGGAAGUGAUGUGUGUCACUUCCACAGCUAGGCCUUACAUGUGCUCUACACUUUCUUACCAUUUAUUUCUCAUGAACUGGGACAUGGAUUUAUCUGCAAAUUCAAUUCAGCUAUGUAGAACAAAACAGUGGGGUGAGGAGAAACAAGAUAGGAGGAACCCUGAAUGACUGCACAAAGCAAAUGGACCCGCUCAUCCAUCCUGACUGUUCUGUGAAUGAGAAAAAAACAACAACAAAAACCAUCUUGGGACUUCCCUUAAGUGGUUAAGACUUCGCCCUCCAAAGCAGGAAGUGUAGAUGUGAUCUCUGAUUAAGGAAUUAAGAUCCCACAUGCUCUGGGGCCAUAAAACCAAAACACAAAACAGAAACAAUAUUGUAACAAAUUCAAAGAGACUUUAAAAACCACCUACAUCAAAAAAUCUUUGUCCGAUAAGCCCCUGUUUAGUAGGGCCUCUUUCUUACGACGGGCUUCCCUUGUGGCUCAGCUGGUAAAGAAUCCACCUGCAAUCCGGGAGACCUGGGUUCAGUCCCUGGGUUGGAAGAUCCCCUGGAGAAGAGAAUGGCUACCCACUCCAGUAUUCUGGCCUGGAGUAUUCCAUGGACUAUAUGGUCCAUGGAGUCGCAAAGAGUUGGACACAACUGAGCAACUUUCACUUCACUUCACUUUCUUAGGACAGCUUAGCUUUCACUCUAAGCAAUACAGCUCUGUGCUCUGUACCCGUAGGACUGAAAUGCUGUCUGUAAUGGGAGUAAACAAUUCAUCUGAGAUUACAUCACACUUUGAGUCAAUCCACUUUCCCAGCACCUACACAGGCUCAUAACUGCUUAUGAAGGCUGACUACAGACGCACUAGUCUAAAAACAACAGACACACUGAGUGUUAAGGGGUCAGAGCCAGAAGCAAUAUUUGAAAUGACCUAGAAAGCACUGUGUGGUGGAAAGGGUCUGAGUAGCAGCAUCAGAAAAAUCUGGAUUUGAAUCCUAGAUCUGCUUUUCACUGCCUAUGAUCCCUGGGCAAGAAUCUUAAGGCCUUUAAUCCUUAAAGAAAAUUUCCAAAUAAUAAUAAAAUAGAGGAGAAGCAAAGGAGUAUCUGUCUUGCAGCAUGGUUGAGGAAUUAUAAUAGACAUAAGCCAAGCCCAGUGUUGGGGAACACAAUAGCUUUCUAUAGGUGAUUAUUAUUAUUAUUAGCAUUUUGCAGACCCUGUGAGAAAAGAACUAAAUACUCUCCCACUGCAAAGAGAGAGGUCAUCCUUUCCUGCACUCACUAAGCCUGCUACUGGAAUUUGCCUGUGCUAAAAAAAAUGGAGAAUUUUAUUUCCUCACCAAGACAGAAGCAUAUUUUGCUUUGAAUCUUCCUGUACCCCUCUUCAAAUCUAGAAUUGUGGACCAAGAUAACUUAUACCAAGAGAGCAAAUACAGUUAAUAAAAGCAGAGGAGAAGAGAUCUGACUCCUACGUUAAAUUUAUUUUAGUGCCAGAUUUUGCGUCACUUUUUCCUGGAAGCCUGUUUCACUGGAUUUUAAAUGUGGCAAAAGCAGAAACCAAGCCUCAUUCAUGCCAUCCUCCCUCAACUUAAAACAUUUCACACCCUGGCAUGCAUUCUGCAAGCAUUCAAUAAAUACUAAAUGAGUCAUAUAACUUUAGACCCAUAAAAGUCUUUAGAGAUUAUCCAGUCUUGCUCUCAUCUUUCAGAUCAAUUUCUUCACCCACUCAUUCAGUCAAUAUAUAUUUAUCAGGCACUAUAAUGUGCUGACAAAUGGGGCUGCACAAGAGAUGUGGACUGUGACAUCACAAUUGGGUAAAAAGACUUGUUCAAAGUCAAGCUAUUAGAAUUAGGAAUAGCAUGUAGGUCUUCCAAUGGCACUGGUCUUUUUGUAGAGUCUUGAGCAUACUAAGAUCUUGCUCAGCAGGGCCCUUGGCUCUCUGAGUUCCCCACUGCCCCCAGAUCUUUACAGGGCUGUCUCUUUAUCCCUCAAGGCUUUGGCCAAAGAGACUUUGCUUGAUCAUUCCAAUUAAAACUUGUAACAAUCUCCUUUCCACAGCUGAUGACAAAAUCAGCCUAUUCGUAAUGAAAACAAAUACGUAUCUAAUAUUCUAAAAGUUAAAAACUCAGUGAAUAAAAAUAUCCUUCAUGUUUUGCCCCCUUGAGGUCCUACUCCCCUGAAGGACGACCAGGAACACUGUGACCUCCCUCCUUUCUUCUUAAAUUGUGUCUAAAUCUUUUUUCAGUGGAUAUUUUAUCUUAUCUGAAAUGAUUCCUCAUUUUUUAAAACCUUUUUCCAUGAAACGUUAAUGCUUUUCAAUAUGUAUUUAUUAUGCUGUGUGUAUAUGUAAAUAUAUGUUUCCCCAUGAACAAUGUGUGGGAAAGUUAAUAAAUACAUAUGUAUUUCCAUCAAAAAAUCAGGAACAUGCUCUCUCA